UGGGGAAUAUUGGACAAUGGGGGAAACCCUGAUCCAGCCAUGCCGCGUGAGUGAUAAGGCCUUCGGGUUGUAAAGCUCUUUUGGUGGGGACGAUGAUGACGGUACCCACAGAAUAAGCCCCGGCAAACUUCGUGCCAGCAGCCGCGGUAAUACGAAGGGGGCAAGCGUUGUUCGGAAUUAUUGGGCGUAAAGGGCGCGUAGGCGGCUUGAUAAGUUGGAUGUGAAAGCCCCGGGCUUAACCUGGGAACUGCAUUCGAUACUGUCAAGCUAGAGGAUGGGAGAGGUCAGUGGAAUUCCAAGUGUAGAAGUGAAAUUCGUAGAUAUUUGGAGGAACACCAGUGGCGAAGGCGACUGACUGGACCAUUUCUGACGCUGAGGCGCGAAAGCGUGGGGAUCAAAC
rnacentral:rRNA from 1 species